rnacentral:rRNA from 1 species
GCCCACGGCCAUACCACUCUGAAUGCGCCCGAUCUCGUCUGGUCUCGGAAGCUAAGCAGGGUUGGACCUGGUUAGUUCUUGAAUAGGAGACUGCCUGGGAAUACCGGGUAGGCU